UACGUAGGGUGCAAGCGUUAAUCGGAAUUACUGGGCGUAAAGCGUGCGCAGGCGGCUAUGCAAGACAGAUGUGAAAUCCCCGGGCUCAACCUGGGAACUGCAUUUGUGACUGCAUGGCUAGAGUACGGUAGAGGGGGAUGGAAUUCCGCGUGUAGCAGUGAAAUGCGUAGAUAUUGCUCGGAAGGCCAACGGCGAAGGCAGGUUACUGGUACGCAACUGACGCUGAGGCACGAAAGCGUGGGGAGCAAACAGG
rnacentral:rRNA from 1 species